rnacentral:rRNA from 1 species
UACGAAGGGGGCUAGCGUUGCUCGGAAUGACUGGGCGUAAAGGGCGCGUAGGCGGCGGACACAGUCAGACGUGAAAUUCCUGGGCUCAACCUGGGGGCUGCGUUUGGAUACAUGUCUGCUUGAGUUCGGAAGAGGGUCGUGGAAUUCCCAGUGUAGAGGUGAAAUUCGUAGAUAUUGGGAAGAACACCGGUGGCGAAGGCGGCGACCUGGUCCGAUACUGACGCUGAGGCGCGAAAGCGUGGGGAGCAAACAGG